AUUGAACGCUGGCGGCAGGCCUAACACAUGCAAGUCGAGCGGAUUAAGGGAGCUUGCUCCUGGAUUCAGCGGCUGACGGGUGAGUAAUGCCUAAGAAUCUGCCUGUUAUUGGGGGAUAACGUCCGUAAACGGGCGCUAAUACCGCAUACGUCCUGAGUGAGAAAGUGGGGGAUCUUCGGACCUCACUCUAUCAGAUGAGCCUAGGUCGGUUUAGCUAGUUGGUGAGGUAAAGGCCUACCAAGUCGACGAUCCGUAACUGGUCUGAGAGGUUGAUCAGUCACACUGGAAAUGAGACACGGUACAGACUACUACGGGAGGCAGCAGUGGGAAAUAUUGGACAAUGGGCGAAAGCCUGAUCCAGCCAUGCCGCGUGUGUGAAGAAGGUCUUCGGAUUGUAAAGCACUUUAAGUUGGGAGGAAGGGCAGUAAGUUAAUACCUUGCUGUUUUGACGUUACCAACAGAAUAAGCACCGGCUAACUUCGUG
rnacentral:rRNA from 1 species